GGGGCUGACAUAGCUUCGACGAGAGGAAUUUAACAGGAUAUUCUGCAAGUCGUUUCACACCCGUUAGGUGUUUAUUUAAUUGCAAACUUUGUUGCAAAAGCAAAAGCAUUCGUAGCUGAGGCAUUUAUGCCAAAGCAGGCUGCUUUUGCGCUAGCUGCUUAAUUUUUUAACAGCCAUCGGUCUUCUUGAGGUGACGUAGGGGAGCCGGUGUUAUAAUUACGCCACUUACUAUCUGUUUGGGCAGCUGCGUUCAGGUAGGAAAACUUUCAGCGAGACGACAUUUGCCAUUUUAGCUCUACUUUAAGGUGAAUAUUGUCUCUAAAAUUUAAGUAGAGAUAUGCUUGUAGACGAAUAUCAGGUUACCUUUUGGACCCGGGGGCGGUACCCGGCAGCUCCACCA
rnacentral:tmRNA from 1 species